GCGGCGGACGGGUGAGUAACACGUGGGUAACCUGCCUGUAAGACUGGGAUAACUCCGGGAAACCGGAGCUAAUACCGGAUAGUUCCUUGAACCGCAUGGUUCAAGGAUGAAAGACGGUUUCGGCUGUCACUUACAGAUGGACCCGCGGCGCAUUAGCUAGUUGGUGAGGUAACGGCUCACCAAGGCGACGAUGCGUAGCCGACCUGAGAGGGUGAUCGGCCACACUGGGACUGAGACACGGCCCAGACUCCUACGGGAGGCAGCAGUAGGGAAUCUUCCGCAAUGGACGAAAGUCUGACGGAGCAACGCCGCGUGAGUGAUGAAGGUUUUCGGAUCGUAAAGCUCUGUUGUUAGGGAAGAACAAGUGCAAGAGUAACUGCUUGCACCUUGACGGUACCUAACCAGAAAGCCACGGCUAACUACGUGCCAGCAGCCGCGGUAAUACGUAGGUGGCAAGCGUUGUCCGGAAUUAUUGGGCGUAAAGGGCUCGCAGGCGGUUUCUUAAGUCUGAUGUGAAAGCCCCCGGCUCAACCGGGGGAGGGUCAUUGGAAACUGGGAAACUUGAGUGCA
rnacentral:rRNA from 1 species